AGUUGGAGAGUGUCGCCGGCAAUGUCGCCCCCGCUGACGGCGCUUUCCGGGGGACGGGUGAACAGCUCGUCCCCACCUUCUACCUUCCGGCCGGAGUAAGCCCCCCUCCGUCGGAAGGACCAGGCGGGCGGUGGAGUUCCCCCAGCUCCAUCGCCCGCUU
rnacentral:sRNA from 1 species